rnacentral:tRNA from 1 species
UGGAGCGGUGUCCGAGUGGUUUAAGGUACUAGUCUUGAAAACUGGCGUGCCGUAAGGUACCGAGGGUUCGAAUCCCUCCUGCUCCGU